rnacentral:rRNA from 1 species
UACGGAGGGGGGCUAGCGUUGUUCGGAAUUACUGGGCGUAAAGCGUGCGUAGACGGCUAUCUAAGUCGGGUGUGAAAGCCCCGGGCUCAACCUGGGAAUUGCAUUCGAGACUGAAUAGCUAGGGUACGGUAGAGGGAAGCGGAAUUUCCGGUGUAGCGGUGAAAUGCGUAGAUAUCGGAAGGAACAUCAGUGGCGAAAGCGGCUUCCAUGGACC